rnacentral:sRNA from 1 species
GAUGCCCAAAUCUAAGCGCGACAAGAAAGGUGGGCGAAGGGGGAGUCGGGACGCUGGGGGGAGCUCCGUAGGCUGGCUACCCAGCCUGCGGUGAGGGCUUCGGGGCGGCAGGGGCGCAGAUUGGAACGCCAGGACAUCCUCGAGGUGUUCCGCUGCCUCGCGAGCUGGAAUGGGGGCUUCGGGGCUGUAAAACCGCCAGAGGUGGCUGACGCCCGGUCGGGUCUGGGGAGCGGAGACUCGUUUUGCCUAGUUUCAGGUGCUCUUGCAAGGCCAACUGGGUCGGGAGGCAGCUCCUGAACACCGCCCCCGGCUAUGCCUGCUGCCGUUUCGGCCCACUUUUCCCAACUUCGGCCCUUUCUCAUCUUCCUGCGCUCCCGCCACCCUGGCUGCCUUUCCCUUCUUUCAGCACAGUCUCCUUAACCAAAACUGCCAAGAAAGGCUUGGAAUUGAAACAAAACCUGAUAGAAGAGCUUCGGAAAUGUGUGGACACCUACAAGUACCUUUUCAUCUUCUCUGUGGCCAACAUGAGGAACAGCAAGCUGAAGGACAUCCGGAACGCCUGGAAGCACAGCCGG